AAAAAUAUAAUUUUCGUCAUAAAUAUGGUUAAAGGGCAUCUCCCAAAACACCCCCCUAGCUACGCCAUUGUACUACGUAGUAAGCAAAAAUGUUUAAGAACCUGAAUUAAAUGGCUGACCUCAAAAUACCAUAGUAAAUAGAAUAAGAGGGGGCUUAAAACAUGUGCGAAAGUUUUUUGCCUGACCAAUAAUUUAAUCGACAAAUAUAUUGUGAGAACCGUAUUUAGGCCAACAAAUAUUUGGUUUGAACCAGGGGUCUGUUCUACUAAUACGUAUUCGGCGUGUUUGGUAUAUUGAGCAUUAUUAAUAUUAUAAUGCACUGUUUACGUUCAAAACGACAGUUUAUCUAAUCGUUUUCGGUGCAAUUUACGAUUACG